rnacentral:rRNA from 1 species
GACGUAGGGCGCGAGCGUUGUCCGGAUUUAUUGGGCGUAAAGAGCUCGUAGGCGGCUUGUCGCGUCGAAUGUGAAAACCUGCAGCUCAACUGCAGGCUUGCAUUCGAUACGGGCAGGCUCGAGUUCGGUAGGGGAGACUGGAAUUCCUGGUGUAGCGGUGAAAUGCGCAGAUAUCAGGAGGAACACCAAUAGCGAAGGCAGCUCGCUGGGACGUUACUGACACUGAGGCGCGAAAGCGUGGGGAGCGAACAGG